rnacentral:rRNA from 1 species
UACGUAGGGUGCAAGCGUUAAUCGGAAUUACUGGGCGUAAAGCGUGCGCAGGCGGUUUCGUAAGUCUGUCGUGAAAUCCCCGGGCUUAACCUGGGAAUGGCGAUGGAGACUGCGAGGCUAGAGUUUGGCAGAGGGGGGUAGAACUCCACGUGUAGCAGUGAAAUGCGUAGAGAUGUGGAGGAACACCGAUGGCGAAGGCAGCCCCCUGGGUCAAAACUGACGCUCAUGCACGAAAGCGUGGGGAGCAAACAGG